ACCUCCAUGCCUCCCCUCUCUGCUAAUGUAUGCCUGCCUCUGAGGCGAAAACAGAUCUACGGCUCCUGUCCUUGUUCUGAAUGAGAAUACAUUAUUUGCCAGCUCUGUUUCAUUAAAAUUAUUCCACUCAGCUGUGAAAACAGACUUGCAAUGGAUUGAAUGAGUCGCCUCUCUACCCCAGAUGCUGAGGAGGUGGGCUCUUUAAAUGUCAUGGAAUAAAUAAAUAAACAAUCUGCAUUUGGCAGAGGGAAUAUAUAUAUGCAGGGAAAUAUAUUGAGAAAACUGAAGGCUAUAUAUAUAUAUAGCCUCCAGUUUUCUCAAUAUAUUUCCCUGCAUCCUAUUUUAAAUCAGAUUAAUUAAUUAUAUCUGAUUACCUGUAAUACAACAGUUGCAUUGACAAAUGAGUUAUCUGUGCCUUUGAAUAAUUUGGAUGCUUUUUCUCUCCAAACAUAUAUCUGUUCACAGAUGGCACUUUAGAGUCAUUGCAGACUUCCACGAAGAGGAGAAAGCAAUCUUAUCCAAUCAGCUCUUCCAACUGCAGCCACCCACACAACCUCAAACAAUGUGUUAGCACAGGAGUCUUUAGGCUUUCCAGACCUGGGACCCACCUUUAACCCGAAAAUGCAUUUCUUAAUCUUUUGCCAUAUAUUUGUACGGUGAUGGUGCUGCUGUUGUGAUCUUGCCUUAGAUCAGGCCAUGAGCUGAUAGCGUUUGCCCACCAGUAUUCCAAGAGGGCAGUGGUUGUGGUCUGGUUUCCUUUGGGGCAUGGAAGAAACAUUUACCCUUGCAACCAGCUGUUGAAAUCAUCCUUGGCCAGCCACAAAGGCUUGUGGGAUUGCCUGCUGAAAACACACACUUAAAUUGGCUUUUAAAUCAUGGCCUUUGAAAGGGCAGGGCAAGAGCAAUGGACCGGAGUUAAGAAUUCUUCACUCUGGACCACCUCCAAAAAAUUUAAGCCCAUCAGUUGAAGACCAAUGUUUCAGAGGGUAUCCCAACCAUUCAAAGCAGAUUUAGGGACUACUGGGAGAUUUAAGGUAAAGUGGAGGUUGGCAAGAUGAUGGCUAUUCUCUGCCUUGGAGUCAGAGGCAGUAUAUGUUUGAACACCAGCUGCCUGAAAAAUCCAGGGAAGGAGAGAGUGCUAUUUUGGGUUGGCCACAGGUAUCCGGUUGGCCACUGUGAGAACAGGAUGCUGGACAAGAUGAGCCCUGAUCCAGCAGGGCUCUUUCUAUGUUCUUAUAAACAAUGUCUCACACAUUUCAUUUGCAGACACCUCCACCGGAUUGAAGGAGCCUUCUAUAAAUGAAGCAACGCCAUCAGAAACAAUCUAUUAUUUUUAUUUUAUAUAUUUAAAACUUUUUCACAAGGAGCAUCCAUCAUAAUUCCCAAUUGGCAAUUGAUGGGAAGAGAGACCAACUGAAGCACAGUCUGGCUCUCUUGUACCUCAUGUCUGCCCAGGAACAUCUAAUCACCUGGAAAUGAAGACCUGGGGGGCUUGUCUCAGCGUAAAAAAGGUUGGCAUUGGUCUUUUUCCACUUUCCCUGAUAAAUUGCACAUCUAACAUUACCAAAUAAACACUACCAUGUAUUUUACAUGUUUAUAAA
rnacentral:lncRNA from 1 species